UACGAAGGGGACUAGCGUUGUUCGGAAUCACUGGGCGUAAAGCGCACGUAGGCGGUUCGUCGCGUCGGCUGUGAAAUCCCGGAGCUCAACUCCGGGUCUGCAGUCGAUACGGGCGGACUCGAGUUCGGCAGGGGAGACUGGAAUUCCUGGUGUAGCGGUGAAAUGCGCAGAUAUCAGGAGGAACACCGAUGGCGAAGGCAGGUCUCUGGGCCACUACUGACGCUGAGAAGCGAAAGCAUGGGGAGCAAACAGG
rnacentral:rRNA from 1 species